UCCUGGCUAGCUCAGUCGGUAGAGCAUGGGACUGUUAAUCCCAGGGUUGUGAGUUCGAGCCCCAUGUUGGGCU
rnacentral:tRNA from 1 species